rnacentral:tRNA from 1 species
GCAGUCGUGCCCGAGUGGUUAAGGCGAUGAACUAGAAAUCCAUUGGGGUCUCUCCGCUCAGGUUCGAAUCCUGUCGACUGCG